rnacentral:rRNA from 1 species
UACGGAGGGUGCAAGCGUUAUCCGGAUUCACUGGGUUUAAAGGGUGCGUAGGUGGGCAGGUAAGUCAGUGGUGAAAUCUCCGGGCUUAACUCGGAAACUGCCGUUGAUACUAUUUGUCUUGAAUAUUGUGGAGGUAAGCGGAAUAUGUCAUGUAGCGGUGAAAUGCUUAGAUAUGACAUAGAACACCAAUUGCGAAGGCAGCUUACUACACAACAAUUGACGCUGAGGCACGAAAGCGUGGGGAUCAAACAGG